CAUUAUACCGCGAAACUGCGAAUGGCUCAUUAAAUCAGUUAUCGUUUAUUUGAUAAUACCUUACUACUUGGAUAACCGUGGUAAUUCUAGAGCUAAUACAUGCUUCAAAUCCCGACUCACGAAGGGGUGUAUUUAUUAGAUUAAAAACCAAUGCCCUUCGGGGCUUACUGGUGAUUCAUAAUAACUUCUCGAAUCGCAUGCCCUUGCGGCGGCGAUGGUUCAUUCAAAUUUCUGCCCUAUCAACUUUCGAUGGCAGGGUCUUGGCCUGCCAUGGUUACAACGGGUAACGGAGGGUUAGGGCUCGACCCCGGAGAAGGAGCCUGAGAAACGGCUACUACAUCCAAGGAAGGCAGCAGGCGCGCAAAUUACCCAAUCCCGAUACGGGGAGGUAGUGACAAUAAAUACUGAUACAGGGCUCUUUUGGGUCUUGUAAUUGGAAUGAGUACAAUUUAAAUCCCUUAACGAGGAACAAUUGGAGGGCAAGUCUGGUGCCAGCAGCCGCGGUAAUUCCAGCUCCAAUAGCGUAUAUUAAAGUUGUUGCAGUUAAAAAGCUCGUAGUUGAACCUUGGGCCUGGCUGGCCGGUCCGCCUCACCGCGUGCACUGGUUCGGCCGGGCCUUUCCCUCUGGGGAACCCCAUGCCCUUCACUGGGUGUGGCGGGGAACCAGGACUUUUACUGUGAAAAAAUUAGAGUGUUCAAAGCAGGCCUAUGCUCGAAUAGUACAGCAUGGAAUAAUAGAAUAGGACGCGCGGUUCUAUUUUGUUGGUUUCUAGGACCGCCGUAAUGAUUAAUAGGGACAGUCGGGGGCAUCAGUAUUCAAUUGUCAGAGGUGAAAUUCUUGGAUUUAUUGAAGACUAACUACUGCGAAAGCAUUUGCCAAGGAUGUUUUCAUUAAUCAGGAACGAAAGUUAGGGGAUCGAAGACGAUCAGAUACCGUCGUAGUCUUAACCAUAAACUAUGCCGACUAGGGAUCGGACGAUGUUAUUUUUUGACUCGUUCGGCACCUUACGAGAAAUCAAAGUCUUU
rnacentral:rRNA from 1 species